GGUUAAGCGACUAAGCGUACACGGUGGAUGCCCUGGCAGUCAGAGGCGAUGAAGGACGUGCUAAUCUGCGAUAAGCGUCGGUAAGGUGAUAUGAACCGUUAUAACCGGCGAUUUCCGAAUGGGGAAACCCAGUGUGUUUCGACACACUAUCAUUAACUGAAUCCAUAGGUUAAUGAGGCGAACCGGGGGAACUGAAACAUCUAAGUACCCCGAGGAAAAGAAAUCAACCGAGAUUCCCCCAGUAGCGGCGAGCGAACGGGGAGGAGCCCAGAGCCUGAAUCAGUGUGUGUGUUAGUGGAAGCGUCUGGAAAGGCGCGCGAUACAGGGUGACAGCCCCGUACACAAAAAUGCACAUGCUGUGAGCUCGAUGAGUAGGGCGGGACACGUGGUAUCCUGUCUGAAUAUGGGGGGACCAUCCUCCAAGGCUAAAUACUCCUGACUGACCGAUAGUGAACCAGUACCGUGAGGGAAAGGCGAAAAGAACCCCGGCGAGGGGAGUGAAAAAGAACCUGAAACCGUGUACGUACAAGCAGUGGGAGCACGCUUAGGCGUGUGACUGCGUACCUUUUGUAUAAUGGGUCAGCGACUUAUAUUCUGUAGCAAGGUUAACCGAAUAGGGGAGCCGAAGGGAAACCGAGUCUUAACUGGGCGUUAAGUUGCAGGGUAUAGACCCGAAACCCGGUGAUCUAGCCAUGGGCAGGUUGAAGGUUGGGUAACACUAACUGGAGGACCGAACCGACUAAUGUUGAAAAAUUAGCGGAUGACUUGUGGCUGGGGGUGAAAGGCCAAUCAAACCGGGAGAUAGCUGGUUCUCCCCGAAAGCUAUUUAGGUAGCGCCUCGUGAAUUCAUCUCCGGGGGUAGAGCACUGUUUCGGCAAGGGGGUCAUCCCGACUUACCAACCCGAUGCAAACUGCGAAUACCGGAGAAUGUUAUCACGGGAGACACACGGCGGGUGCUAACGUCCGUCGUGAAGAGGGAAACAACCCAGACCGCCAGCUAAGGUCCCAAAGUCAUGGUUAAGUGGGAAACGAUGUGGGAAGGCCCAGACAGCCAGGAUGUUGGCUUAGAAGCAGCCAUCAUUUAAAGAAAGCGUAAUAGCUCACUGGUCGAGUCGGCCUGCGCGGAAGAUGUAACGGGGCUAAACCAUGCACCGAAGCUGCGGCAGCGACGCUUAUGCGUUGUUGGGUAGGGGAGCGUUCUGUAAGCCUGUGAAGGUGUGCUGUGAGGCAUGCUGGAGGUAUCAGAAGUGCGAAUGCUGACAUAAGUAACGAUAAAGCGGGUGAAAAGCCCGCUCGCCGGAAGACCAAGGGUUCCUGUCCAACGUUAAUCGGGGCAGGGUGAGUCGACCCCUAAGGCGAGGCCGAAAGGCGUAGUCGAUGGGAAACAGGUUAAUAUUCCUGUACUUGGUGUUACUGCGAAGGGGGGACGGAGAAGGCUAUGUUGGCCGGGCGACGGUUGUCCCGGUUUAAGCGUGUAGGCUGGUUUUCCAGGCAAAUCCGGAAAAUCAAGGCUGAGGCGUGAUGACGAGGCACUACGGUGCUGAAGCAACAAAUGCCCUGCUUCCAGGAAAAGCCUCUAAGCAUCAGGUAACAUCAAAUCGUACCCCAAACCGACACAGGUGGUCAGGUAGAGAAUACCAAGGCGCUUGAGAGAACUCGGGUGAAGGAACUAGGCAAAAUGGUGCCGUAACUUCGGGAGAAGGCACGCUGAUAUGUAGGUGAAGCGACUUGCUCGUGGAGCUGAAAUCAGUCGAAGAUACCAGCUGGCUGCAACUGUUUAUUAAAAACACAGCACUGUGCAAACACGAAAGUGGACGUAUACGGUGUGACGCCUGCCCGGUGCCGGAAGGUUAAUUGAUGGGGUUAGCGCAAGCGAAGCUCUUGAUCGAAGCCCCGGUAAACGGCGGCCGUAACUAUAACGGUCCUAAGGUAGCGAAAUUCCUUGUCGGGUAAGUUCCGACCUGCACGAAUGGCGUAAUGAUGGCCAGGCUGUCUCCACCCGAGACUCAGUGAAAUUGAACUCGCUGUGAAGAUGCAGUGUACCCGCGGCAAGACGGAAAGACCCCGUGAACCUUUACUAUAGCUUGACACUGAACAUUGAGCCUUGAUGUGUAGGAUAGGUGGGAGGCUUUGAAGUGUGGACGCCAGUCUGCAUGGAGCCGACCUUGAAAUACCACCCUUUAAUGUUUGAUGUUCUAACGUUGACCCGUAAUCCGGGUUGCGGACAGUGUCUGGUGGGUAGUUUGACUGGGGCGGUCUCCUCCUAAAGAGUAACGGAGGAGCACGAAGGUUGGCUAAUCCUGGUCGGACAUCAGGAGGUUAGUGCAAUGGCAUAAGCCAGCUUGACUGCGAGCGUGACGGCGCGAGCAGGUGCGAAAGCAGGUCAUAGUGAUCCGGUGGUUCUGAAUGGAAGGGCCAUCGCUCAACGGAUAAAAGGUACUCCGGGGAUAACAGGCUGAUACCGCCCAAGAGUUCAUAUCGACGGCGGUGUUUGGCACCUCGAUGUCGGCUCAUCACAUCCUGGGGCUGAAGUAGGUCCCAAGGGUAUGGCUGUUCGCCAUUUAAAGUGGUACGCGAGCUGGGUUUAGAACGUCGUGAGACAGUUCGGUCCCUAUCUGCCGUGGGCGCUGGAGAACUGAGGGGGGCUGCUCCUAGUACGAGAGGACCGGAGUGGACGCAUCACUGGUGUUCGGGUUGUCAUGCCAAUGGCACUGCCCGGUAGCUAAAUGCGGAAGAGAUAAGUGCUGAAAGCAUCUAAGCACGAAACUUGCCCCGAGAUGAGUUCUCCCUGACCCUUUAAGGGUCCUGAAGGAACGUUGAAGACGACGACGUUGAUAGGCCGGGUGUGUAAGCGCAGCGAUGCGUUGAGCUAACCGGUACUAAUGAACCGUGAGGCUUAACCUU
rnacentral:rRNA from 1 species